AUUACCUUUUCUCCGAUGCUUCUUCUCUUGAAAAUAUUUUUCUCCCUUUUCUUUUCAAAACUGAGUUGUGAGAGAUUAGUGUAUCUCAGUGAUUUAUUUUAUUUAUUUGGAUGAUUAUGUUAUUGGUGUUUAAUAUGGAAUCAUUUUCAAUGAAGAAGCUUUGUUCUUUUCUCCCACAUAGCUAGGUUUUUCUUAUUUUCUUCAUCUUUUCUGGAUUAUGAAGAGAAAGGGGAUUUUAUUCUCAUCACAAAAGACUUAGAGAAGAAAAUCGUUGAAGAUGCUUGGGGUGGUGUUUGAGUUUGUAUUCUUGGAAUGGUGUUUGAAUUGAUAUUUUUGGAGAGAAAAUGCUUAUGACCAUGAGGUAGUUCAUAUUAUCUAAAAGAAUAAGUGACGAACUAAGAUCGUGCUUGAUCCCUUCGAGCAACAGAGAGGGUACGUAGGCAGACGCUAUGCGGUUCAGCACAACACUAUAAGGUUGUUCAUAUCAUCUGAAAGAGUUGGUUGCUGCUUGGCAGUUCAUACCAUCUCUAUUCGGAGAUGAUUGCAACUCUAGUAAUUCAUAAAAUGUAUUGGUAAGAGGUAGUCGUCGUACCGGCUGUUCAUACUAUCUAAGGAGGAGAUGAUUGCUGCUUCCAGUUCAUAUCAUCUGAGAUAGAUAAUCUGUUGAGCUUGACAAAGUAGUUCAUAUCUGUUUAACUGACGGGUCCCUUCGUGGAUGAGCUAAGGAUAAUAAUUGUUGGGUCCCUACGAGGAUGAGCUAUAACUGACAGGUCUCUACGGGGAUGAUCUUAGGCUAACAACUGUCGGGUCCCCUACGGGGAUGGGCUACUAACUGACAGGUCCCUAAUGGGAUGAGCCGUGGCAUUAACUGUCAGAUCCAAACUGGAUGAAGAUAUGAUACUUACUCGAAUAUAUAGACAUUUGCUUGGUAAAAAUCGAAUUGUUCCGAAAAAUUUAAAACCCAUUUUCUCGAGUGGUGUACCGGGAAGUCGGAGCUUUCCAAGCGGGUUGUAACCCGACCCAUUGGGAGCGAAGACUUUCUGGUCCGCUACAGUUGGUAUCAAAGUAGUUCCGGUUCAAACGGGACUGUGCGUUUGGAACUCACCAGUAUUCUACUCGUGUAAGACCCCAAAAUUUGGAACUUCGGGACUUCGGACGAAGUUCUUUUUAAGGGGUUAAUGGUGUAAGACCCCAAAAUUUUCUCGGGUUUAGGUUAACCCACCAUUUGUCAAAUUCUGCAUUUGGUAUGCCUCAAAUACUGAUAUUUUAGUAUGUUUAGCAUUUUUUUGUGCUUAAAAAAACUUUUGGUGCUUAAAUAGCAAUUUAGUUUUUAAGCAUGCUUGGCAAGUGGCAGGAUAUGAACAGGGACAUUUCAGUCAUUUUCCUAAAAUCAACUCUUACUAGAGAUGAUUCCCUUUUAUUUUCUGGGCGAUCUACAUUACCUUUUAUUCUUGAAAAUAUUUUUCUCCCUUUUCUUUCAAAAAUGAGUUGUGAGAGAUUAGUUUAACUCAGUGAUUUAUUUUAUUUAUUUGGAUGAUUAUGUUUUUGGUGUUUAAUAUGGAAUCAUUUUCAAUGAAGAAGCUUUGUUCUUUUCUCCCACAUAGCUAGGUUUUUCUUAUUUUCUUCAUUUUUUAUGGAUUAUGAAGAGAAAGGGGAUUUUAUUCUCGUCACAAAAGACUUAGAGAAGAAAAUCGUUGCAGAUGCUUGGGGUGGUGUUUGAGUUUGUAUUCUUGGAUUGGUGUUUGAAUUGAUAUUUUUAUGAGAGAAAAUGCUUAUGACCAUGAGGUUAGUAUGAUUUCUACAUAUCUUGUGUUCCAUGCAAUUUCGGAAAAAAUUGAUGAAAUGGGUGGUUAUAAAUUAAGAUGAACCCAUGUAUAUCAAAACAAUUCAUGAAUUCCUUCAUAAGUUACUUUGAUUUGAUAUAAUUGGAAAUUAGGGUUGUUGUUGGGAAAUUGGGGAUUUUUGUUAUGAUCCAUGUCUUUAUGUAAAUUGAUGAAAUGGGUAUUUUCUAAUCAUGGAGAUUUGUGGUUUGAUUGCUACAAUUUAUCU